GGAGAGAUGUCCGAGUCGGCCGAAGGAGCUCGCCUGCUAAGCGAGUAUACGAGCUUAAACUUGUAUCGAGGGUUCAAAUCCCUCUCUCUCCGCCA
rnacentral:tRNA from 2 species